CACAAAGCGUUGGCCUCCUUGCUUCACCUUGCUGCUUGGGAGAUUUGGAAGGAAAUGAAUGCUCGUGUUUUCAAGGCCAAGGCAGCGCCAGUGGAGGUUGUUGUGCAUAUCAUCAAGGAUGAAACGGGUAUCUGGGUCCUAGCUGGCGCGAGGCAUUUGGGUAAUGCAAUGCCGCAAGAGUGGCCAUUGUAUCUGUUAUCGCCUAGGCUAUUUUGUAUGGAACAUCACCCUUCUUCUUAA
rnacentral:rRNA from 1 species